rnacentral:rRNA from 1 species
ACACAUGCAGUCGAACGGUGAAGCAGGGCUUGCCCUGCGGAUCAGUGGCGAACGGGUGAGUAACACGUGAGCAACCUGCCCCGGACUCUGGGAUAACAGUUGGAAACAGCUGCUAAUACCGGAUAUGAGACGUGACCGCAUGGUCGACGUUUGGAAAGAUUUUUCGGUCUGGGAUGGGCUCGCGGCCUAUCAGCUUGUUGGUGAGGUAAUGGCUCACCAAGGCGUCGACGGGUAGCCGGCCUGAGAGGGUGACCGGCCACACUGGGACUGAGACACGGCCCAGACUCCUACGGGAGGCAGCAGUGGGGAAUAUUGCACAAUGGGCGGAAGCCUGAUGCAGCAACGCCGCGUGAGGGACGACGGCCUUCGGGUUGUAAACCUCUUUUAGCAGGGAAGAAGCGAAAGUGACGGUACCUGCAGAAAAAGCACCGGCUAACUACGUGCCAGCAGCCGCGGUAAUACGUAGGGUGCAAGCGUUAUCCGGAAUUAUUGGGCGUAAAGAGCUCGUAGGCGGUUUGUCGCGUCUGCUGUGAAAUCCCGAGGCUCAACCUCGGGCCUGCAGUGGGUACGGGCAGACUAGAGUGCGGUAGGGGAGAUUGGAAUUCCUGGUGUAGCGGUGGAAUGCGCAGAUAUCAGGAGGAACACCGAUGGCGAAGGCAGAUCUCUGGGCCGUAACUGACGCUG